UACGUAGGGUGCGAGCGUUGUCCGGAAUUAUUGGGCGUAAAGAGCUCGUAGGCGGUCUGUCGCGUCUGCUGUGAAAUCCCGGGGCUCAACCCCGGGCUUGCAGUGGAUACGGGCAGACUAGAGUUCGGUAGGGGAGACUGGAAUUCCUGGUGUAGCGGUGAAAUGCGCAGAUAUCAGGAGGAACACCGGUGGCGAAGGCGGGUCUCUGGGCCGAUACUGACGCUGAGGAGCGAAAGUGUGGGGAGCGAACAGG
rnacentral:rRNA from 1 species